AGAAAUAGGAAAACUUUUGACAAUCACUCAACACAACAAUCCGCCAUCACAUGAAAACGACGACGCCUAUGUCAUCUGUUGGACAUCUCUGACACCCCAACUGUAUGAUGUCCACCAGGUAGCGCGAGUGUCUACAGGGACGCUUAGCGGCCAUUUUGUUCCAAGACGCAGCUGAAGAAGGUUGUCGGUUGUCACGCUCUUCACGAUGAAAAUUAAAAGGUGAUAUAGCAUGUAGAAACCAAUCUGCCAAAUCAUUCAACUCCGACUUGGGAAGUGCCUGUACAUUUCCGAAAUGGCGUGCCUCGUGUGUCUCGCUGCCUGUUUUUUGGCUUACGUCUCACCCCGUUCAACACGAAAAAGUGAAACAAACACUGGUGGUUACCUUGUUGCAGCCA